GUCACAGGCGGCCGAGGGACGGAGAGGAGACGUGAGCAGAGGCUGCUGACUCAUCACAUAAAAUAAAAGGAUAGAAGUUUGGAAGAUUCCCCCCUCAAGGCAUCAAAGUAAGUUAAGAAAAGUAUUGUUAUAUUGCCUCUUGACACCUCAAGGUAACCUAUUAUUUCCUCUUAUAUGUUUCUUCCAUACAAUGACCAACAAAAGUUGGUUAAAGGAAAGUUUCAAAACUUCCAAAAGUGAGCAUUUCUGUAAAAAAAGAAGCCAUAUUUCUUACUUUAACUAGUGUUUAGAUAAGUUUCCCAAACUUGGGUUUCCAGCUGCUUUUGAACUACAACACCCAUCAUCUCUAGCAAGCAAGACCAGUGGCCAGGGAUGAUGGGAACUGUAGUCCAAAAAUAGCUGGAGACCCCCCCCCCCAAGUUUGGGAAACAAUGGUUUAGAUAACACUUUAUGUUAUUCAGCCAUUGAAAAAUUAAUUACACUGCCUCUAGUUAUUAGACAUAAUCUGAUAAAAUACAUGUUUUAACCAAGUGAUGGGGUUGCCCUGAAUGGAAUCAAUUCUUGGGCAAGAGGUAUUUAAUGAUAAAGAAGAGUAGAAACUAUCAGGUUCCAUUGAUCAGAAACUAUCAGGUUCCAUUGAUCAGAAACUAUCAGGUUCCUUGAUUAAAUUUCUUAAAUUUCUUAAACCAAUUUCUUCCUAAAACGCAACAUUUCCAAUUUAAUGUGUUUAUAAUGAUAGCAGGUCAUAUUUCUUCAUUUAUGUAUUAAUAAUAAAGUGGGGGAAAAUAAAAAAUCCAUUAAGUAGCAAUUUCUCACCUGUACUUUAUUUAGUUCAGCUACAGGAAUAUCAAAGCACACACCCUGAAUACAAGAGAGAGACAUUGACCGUCAGGCAUUGAACAAAGAAAUCUGCAACAUUUUGAAGAAGGCAAACUUAUUAGUUCACAUAUUAAGAUGCAACAGUAAGUGACUGACAAAGUGCCGGCAUUUGAUUUGUGCAAAAAAAUUAUAGAGCAGUGUCUAAGUAAAUAGUUCAAGUACUGGCGAAGGCCAAGUAUUUUACAGACCAGCAUUAAGAACCAGAAAAGUUUGAUGAGGAUAAACACAGAUGGCUGGUUUUUAAUAACUAAACACAAGUCAAAUGGAGAAGGAUGAAAGGAUUUGUCAGCCAUUAACAUUAACCAGAAGUAAUAACUGUACAGUACUUGAAAAAUUCAACUCUACAUAUUUCAAAUGUACCGUAUUAUGACAACACUAACUCCAAUUAUAAAAUUCAUCCUCAAAUCAUUUCACCAAUACCAAUUUGGUUUUCAAGUGCAAAACCUGUGCUUUGCAUGUUAUCAGAACAGAUGAGGAAAAACAAAUACUAUAAAAUGCUCAACUAGCAAAUACCUACGAAAUGUCUAGGUCAAUAUUUCUUACCGUCUUCCCCUUAAGAAAGCGCAUUCGGGACACUUUGCUGUCAAUGUCCUCACCCAGCUGUUCUUUCAGACCUCGCCAAGCAUAGCCAAUGGUGUGCAUUUCUACUGAACACUGAAGUGUCAUGGUCACAAAACCCUUUAAAAAAGCAAGCAGCAAUAGAUAUUUACAAUAACAGCAGAGGGAUAUAACCGGUUAAUUGUUAAGAGCUUUGAUGAAGGUCUUUACAUGUGGGGUAGCCUGAUAAGAACAUGUGAUACCAAUCCUGAAAGCACCACACUGCCUGUCAUUGAACCACCAGGCCAAAUUCAAGGUGUUAGUAGAGUACUAGCCUAUUUAAAGCCCAAAGCGGCUUGGGGCCCAAGUAUCUAAUAGAGUACCUUCCCAAUAUCAACCGUAUUUGGACCUUACAAUCAGGCGAGGCCUUGUUGGUGAUGUCAACAGGGGCUGUCUGGUGGGAGGUGAUGCAUAACAGGGCCUUUAUACUGGAAAGAUUGAUCAUCUCUCUCUCUGUGCAAUGCUCUCCCCAAGGAGAUUCCCCUGGCACCUUCAUUAUACAACUUUAGGCUCCAGGUGAAAACAUUCCCAUUCAACCAGGUUUUUGACUGACUGACAUCCUAUAUAUUGUGUUUUUGAGAGAGGGCGGGGUUAUUUUUUAUUAUGUGUUUUUAUCUUGUAGUUUUAUGCUGUGAACCGCCCUAAGAUCCACAGAUGAAGGAUGAGGUAUAAGAAUUUGAUUAUUAUUAAUAAAAACAACAUAGGGUACAAAAAGGUUCCACUAUAAUUCAGUGAAACUACCAAAUAGACUGUUCAACUUUUAUAAAACCAAUCUAUAUUUUAAAUCCUUAAUACAUCCUCAUUGGGAGGCCAGUCAUACAACUGACUUCCACUUAGGGCCAGUGCAGAUAUAAGCAGCAUUCAAAUUCCAGUUAAAAGGGAAUCCUGGAUAACCUUAACAGUAGUUAAUAUUGGUGCCAUCACAAAAUUCAAUGUCUAUGAAUGUGUGUUUUAUCCUUGGUGGUGGGAGGAAAAGAUUCCCUGCCAAAGAAGGAAUUACAUGGCCCAUGCACGAUCACUUAAUUAUGGCUCAAAUAUUAUUUGUUCAUUUACUUAGUUUGUUGCAUUUAUAUCCCACCUUUUCCUCCAAGUUCAAGGUGGCGUAUGUGGUCCUCUCCCAUUUAAUCCCCACAACAACCUUGUGAGGUAGGCUAGGCUGAAAGGCAGUGACUGACCCAAGGUCACUGAGUGAACUGUAUGGCCUAGUCCAGCACUCUAACCAUUAUACCACACUGGCUAGUCCUUUGUCAAAAAGAAAAUGUAUUGGUACAUUCAGUAUGUGCGGGGUGUGUGUGUGUGACCUUUUGGGUGUGGCAGUUUCACUGUGUUGUCACCCAAAUAAUGCGAGAGUCUUUUCAGGAAAGUUUGACUAGGAUCAUUCUUAAAAUAGAUCUUAGACUAUAUGUUAUGCAACUGCAUGCCGUAUUUACCGCAUCCGAGUUGAGCAAAGAACGCUGUUCAAUGGAAGUAGCUCCAGAAAUAUGAGCCAGUGCAGCAGCCAGAGCUUCCACUGCCCCCUUUUCCUCUAUCAGCCGUUCAGCUGCCUGUCUGAAGUGGUCAAUGGCAGAUGGAGGAACGGAAUCCAAAGAUCUGAGCAAAAGAUUAGUCAGUGUAAUAUAAACUGCUGAAAUGAUAAGUGUACAUUUUAUAACACAGGAGAUAUUGAAGCUUAAACAAGGCUGCAAUCCUGAAUACACUUACUGGAGAGCAAACCCCACUAUUUCGGGCUUACUUCAGAACAUGUAUAGGAUGGCAGCUUUGGAAUUCUAGGGUUGUAUCCAAUGGCUAACACUCCCCACAACUGACAAAAGUGCUGAAUAUCAUGCUGCAGAAAAACAAAAAUGUGCAAGAGUGCUACUGUUCUUGUGAGCUAAAAUAGAAGGCUGUGAAGUGUAAUCUGUCUUCAUUAAAUCAAUAUUCCUAAUCUUGGACAGAUAUGGUGGAAACUCAUGACAUGCGCUGGACACUGCAUUAAGUUCAAAAUAAACAAAGAAUGAAGUACCUGAUAGCAUCUUUACUGGAAGCCUUAAUAAUGUCUGUUGCUGUAGGAACACCCACGCGUUUAAAUGUAAUCCCCUGAAGUUAAGAGUAAGAGUAUGUAUAUUAUUCAAGUAAUAAGCCACCCCUGGAGACACAUGCAGUGGCUUAGAUAGCCAACAUAUAAAUGACACAAAAAAGUUGGAAGAAGAUAAUUACCGCUUUUUGUUCUACUUGUCUCAGCUGAUGAUCUUCCUUGCGCUGAUAGAAACAGAUGCACAUCCCAGUUCGGCCAGCUCGACCUGUGCGCCCAGAACGAUGAAUAUAGGACUCUACAUCCUUCACAAAUGAAAGUCGUGGGAAAUGCUUAUAUUAAUCUUACCAAAAAGCUACAGAGAAGCCAAACAUUCACAUUUACUGACAUGCAAGUGUUUAGCUAUGCAAAAGGAAAGACAGAUUGCACAAAACACUAUAUGUGGCAUCCAAUGUUGUGUAUCACUUUAAGUAAGCUACCUCUGGCCUGCAACAUGAACAUACAAUUAAAGGGGGUUCCUUCUUUUCCACUAGGAACUAGUAAUUUACCUUUGGUGGUGAACUUUGUAUUACCAGAUCAACCUCUGGGAUAUCUAAACCUCGGGCAGCUACAUUGGUUGCAACCAGAACUCCAAAUGAUCCAUUGCGAAAGCCUUUCAGUGUAACUUCUCUCUGCUUUUGUGGAAUAUCACCAUGUAAAGACUGUGCAUCCUAAGUACAUAAAACAGAGUUAAUGGGAGGUUAUUGGCAGAAAUGACAAAUGACAAGGAUCAGUUUCCUCACCGCCCCAAAAGCAAUUUAAAUGAGCUCUGACAUAUCUUGGAUGCAAGAGAAUAUUUCCCCUGAAUUCUGACAUACCCAUUUUCUAUUUCCCCUCCCUUUUCAUGAAAGGUGUGAUGUCCAAAAUAUCCAUAGCUGCAUGAAUACAUUCAUGCAGAAAACAGGAUACUUGCAUUGUGAGACUGCCAAAAUGCCAUCCACUUCAGCAAGGCACCUAACAGCAAACAAGACAUCCUUUCCCACAGUCAGUUCAAGCAAAGUUGAAUUUGUCGCAAUCCUUUACAAAAACAAGGGUCAUUGCACCUGUUUUAUUGAGGCAUUCAGGGCCAGUUCAGUUGCUUCUUUUUUGGUCUCACAAAAUAUGAUGGUACGUCCAUGACUACCACUGUAGACUUGAAUAACGUCUCCAAUGACUGCAGCUCUC